rnacentral:rRNA from 2 species
UCGGGAGGAGAACAACAGGGAUUACCUCAGUAACGGCGAGUGAAGCGGUAACAGCUCAAAUUUGAAAUCUGGCCUCACGGUCCGAGUUGUAAUUUGUAGAGGAUGCUUCGAGCAUGGUCUGGCCUAAGUUCCUUGGAACAGGACGUCAUAGAGGGUGAGAAUCCCGUAUGCGGCCAGGUGCCUACGCUCAUGUGAAGCUCCUUCGACGAGUCGAGUUGUUUGGGAAUGCAGCUCAAAAUGGGUGGUAAAUUUCAUCUAAAGCUAAAUAUUGGCCAGAGACCGAUAGCGCACAAGUAGAGUGAUCGAAAGAUGAAAAGCACUUUGGAAAGAGAGUUAAACAGUACGUGAAAUUGUUGAAAGGGAAGCGCUUGCAACCAGACUUGCGCGCGGCCGAUCAUCCGGUGUUCUCACCGGUGCACUCGGCCGUGCUCAGGCCAGCAUCGGUUUUGGCGGCUGGAUAAAGGCCCUAGGAAUGUAGCUCCUCUCGGGGAGUGUUAUAGCCUAGGGUGCAAUGCAGCCUGCUGGGACCGAGGACCGCGCUUCGGCUAGGAUGCUGGCGUAAUGGUUGUAAGCGGCCCGUCUUGAAACACGGACCAAGGAGUCUAACAUCUAUGCGAGUGUUUGGGUGUCAAACCCAUACGCGUAAUGAAAGUGAACGGAGGUGAGAACCCUUAAGGGUGCAUCAUCGACCGGUCCUGAAGUUUACGGAAGGAUCUGAGUAAGAGCAUAGCUGUUGGGACCCGAAAGAUGGUGAACUAUGCCUGAAUAGGGUGAAGCCAGAGGAAACUCUGGUGGAGGCUCGCAGCGGUUCUGACGUGCAAAUCGAUCGUCAAAUUUGGGUAUAGGGGGCGAAAGACUAAUCGAACCAUC